rnacentral:rRNA from 1 species
AACCUGGUUGAUCCUGCCAGUAGUGUAUGCUUCUCCUAAAGACUAAGCCAUGCAUGUCUUCGAAUAAGAGGAAGCAAUUCUCUCUGAAUCUGCGAACGGCUCCGCAAACCAGUUGUAAACUAUAGCAAGUUCGCCCCGGUGCUGGCCGUAAGGUUGGUGCUGGGGUUAAAUGGAUAACCGUGGUAAUUCUGAGGCUAAUACAUGAACGUACCCCCUGAUCAACUGGGUAACCGGGAGGUUGGGGACAGUGCGGUCAGUCGCAGAUAUUGCUGGGAAUAGACGCACUUUCAAACCACCAUACCAAACGGUUGGGGUGCUGACCUUCGGGGAGGCGCCCUUUCUGGGUGGGCCUUGCUUUGUGCUUCUGACCUAUCAACWAGAUGGCAGCGUAACGGACAUGCUAUGGUUACAACGGGUACAGAGGAUAAGGGUUCGAUCCUGGAAAGUGGGCCUGAGAGAUUGCUC